UUCCUCUGCAAAGGCAAGCACAAUCUGUCUUUCUAAAGUGACACCAGUCUGAGGCAUCUUCCUAAUACUUAUCUUUCUUAUAUUUUUCAGUUGUUUAGAUUUAACGUCUUACCUAAAAUUUGAAUCUUACUGUACAAGUACCAAGGUUCACAGUAACGAAGCUACUGAAAUCCAACAUUAGCAUAGGACAGUCAAUGAAACAUUCCUGCUACAAAUGCAGAAUGGGGUGUCAUGCAGAAAGUACGAAGUACUAUUAAGGAAUAAUGCAAAUGCAGAUUCACACGCAAGAGUCAUUUGCUCUGAAUCUGAAUUUUUUAUGAUUGGACAUAAUCAUUGGAACACUUGGAACAUCUUGUUUUAGCUAGUUUAGCCCCGUGCAAAUUUACCUGCUGUUAAGUAAAGAAUGCCACCUAAGUCAAUUAUCACUUGCAUGACAUGAUAAGUGAUGACAGUAGUUAAGGAGAAUGACAAUGACAUUAAUUCUUCUGAAGUAAGUUACGGGGCCACAACUGUGGCGUAUCACCACAGGACAAAUUGCUAAGUAGGGGUGUGCCAUUCAACAAAACAAUUUAAUGGCCACUGUGAAACCUGUCGUAUACCAAGCUUUGACUUUGUCAAUGACCUUAAGUUUUCAUAUUUUCUAACCGCCAUUGAGUUAACCCACAAAUAAAAUCAUUCAUGCAAGUUGUCCCAGCUGCUUUGCUUUCUUACAAGCACUGCUCUUUGUUCACCUACUGUCGUCACUGUCAGUGUCCAGAUUCUUGUUGUUAUUUGGUGCUCUUGCUUCCUGUUUCUCAGAGUCUUUGACACAUGUGCUAAGAUAUAUCUAUAUAACCACAUUUUUCUUGUUCGUGCUUUACACUGCGCAUGUUUUUCUGUGCUUCACCCUAGCACAUGAAGUGUACAGUGGGAAGCUUCCUAUCUUGGAGCACUUGCCUUCUGCUUGAAGUUUUCUAUUGACUGUUGUUGUCACUUUCUGAUGAUUUAUAGCUGGUACGCACUCUUGAUAUUUAUUUAUUUUUAUUUAUUUAUUGUACCUUCAAGGCCCGAAAGCGUUACAGAAGGGAGUGGAACAAAAUACAGAACACGGCAGACGACAGGUUAUAAUAAUAAAAAAAAAAAUUUAAAAUGCAGAUUAUCGAAAGACAUUGUCAUGGAGCUGUGUAAAAGAAAGACAACUGUUCGUAGAAAAGUGAUGAAGAUCUUUGCUGGAGUGGUUAGUGCAUCACCUUGUUUGCAUAUGUGUUUGCAUAUGUGUAAUAGUUUAUGGGCACAUUUGUGUCAUGUGCUUCCUAUCUCUAACAUUUGGUGAAGGUGCUUGAUGAUGACUCGCGAUCGAAUUCUGCAGUGACAUCCACGUAAGGUGAAGCACAAAAGCUCCAGAAGAUGGCUUUCCAUGUCUUCUUCAUCAAAUUUCCACGCACAAUCUUCAUUCUUGGAUGGUUCUGUAACAAACAAUAUACAAUUAAAAAUCUUUAAGUGCUUGGGGACCUCCAAAAUCCUUUGUUACUACAGCGAAGCUGUAUAUGGCUAGUUUCCAGCGGAUCGAUGUCACUAGACCAAAAACAGUGGGCCGAUCCCGAAGAUAGUGCAAUACCAGGCCGACCCGCGGCAGAGGUGAAGCAGUCUUCAAGCACUCUGUCAGUUUGCAAAAAUAAAUUUAUUAUCUUGGGUCCAACUACAACCCGUGUCGGAUAUUAAGCUGAUAAGAACAAAUAAUACACUUUGACCUGCGUCGGCCAUAUCUACGUUCGCACCGCCCUGUCUCUGUCGGCAUUCCAAGCACUUGCAUGUCUCCUUUCCUUUCUUUCCACCCUCCCAUGGUGGCAGUCCUGUCGAAACAUCACGCGUGUCUAGUUUCCUUCGGCUCCUCGGGGUGACGGUCCCAUCAUCCAUGCAAAUGUAUAUAAAAAUCAUGGUAAAUGAGUCUGUACCUAUGUUCAGAAUUCUGUGUCACCUCUGUGUUGUAUUCUAAACAGCUUUGCUGGUCAUCCACCUUCAGAGCGUGGAAUGGCUCAUGAUUUUCAAGUCAUUUCGUUGUAAAGAUUGCUCACUGCAUUGCUAAUAGAGCUUUCUAAGCAUGUCCAGCAUAAGAAAAUGUUCAUUUAACAUGAAUUUGAGACACACUUAGGGAAAUAAGUCACUCUUCAGAGCGCCGCUCUUAGGCGGCCGUUCCUGCAUUGAGCAUCAGCGUCCCUCGGUGUCCCUCAUAACUGAGCGAAUGAGUGCAGCGAAGCAUGAAAGAGCCAAGCGUGAAGCGCAGCGGCGGAUGAAAUACGGAAAUAGCGAAGAGAGUGCGAGGAGGAAAACGGAGGAGGAGGGUGCAGCAGUAAGUGGAGGAGGAGAGUAUGGCAAAAGGGCAAGGAGGAAAGCAGAGUGCCAUACGAGACAUGCUCAAUGGCGGCAACCAGGAGUGCGGAGAGUGCUAUGGAAACGAAGCGCUGGUGUGUGCUUCGGUUCCUCUGUGCAUGCGCUGCUUCACGAGUGCAACCACUGCUAGAGAAUGCACUCCGCACAUGCCAUGUGUUCCCGUGUUCCCGGGAAUUCUUCCCGAACAAUGAGUGAUGCAACCAGGGCAAACGCUCCGUCUGCCACUGCUGCUAAAUGAGCUGCCCGAGCAGGGACUCAGCGUGGCCAUCAAGAGGACCCUGUUGUUCAGAAUCAAAUUCUUUGCCACAAUAUAUCACAAAUUUUGAACAUCUAAGCAGCUGCGCUCAAAGUUCACAUUAGGCAGUAUCAUAGUAGAAUUUUUUGUGUGUGUGCAUGCUUCAUCUGACUGAAUUUGCAACUGCAACUGACCUAAUGGCACCGAGAUUCAGGGUAUGUUCCAUGGCGAAACUUCAUAGCUGUGCAAGGUAAAGCUGCAGAUCAUUGAAUGCUGCUACCGCCUCCCUUGCCAUCAAAAUUCUUGGUUCUUUAGCAGGCUUUUCAUUACUGUUACCUUUUCUUGGCAUUAGUGUCCUUUCCACCAUAGAUGAAUUUAAAGACAUCGUUGGUCAUCAGUUACAAUUACAUCAUCAUGUCGUCAUCAACUGUGAUGUAUUCAUCAGCCGUUGCACCCACUGCUGUGUUAAAACAAGCUGUGGAAAAGUUACGUAAUUCCCGGAAAGGGGCAGCAGGGCCUAACACUCACUUACAUUGCAUGCUCAUCAGAUGCAUUGCUUGCACUGUCAUUUGUGUUAGCACUGAGUGAAGCUUUAGUGGCUUCUACAGAGGGCACUGGCAGCACCAUUCUAAGUUUCUUCAUUUUACAGGCACAUUUGUUUUAGGGGUCUUCGUUGCAGAGGCAUUCACAAUACAUACGAAAAAUAGGAAUUUGGCCACAACAUAAUUAAUCCUUCGUUAUACAUGUCAUUUUGUUGUAGAGGCAUUUGACUCCAUGGAAAUUCCUUUAUGCAAUAGGUGAGCAGUUUAAACUAAGUUUAAAUAGAUUGGACCAUAAUUUUUCUUACUAUUUAUAGGGAGGUUAUUAAACAAAACACUGGAACAAUUGUAGUCCAUGCUGCAGGUUCUCUGCUAGAAUAUUAAGACCUGCAUGAUCUCACCACAAGGUGUCGUAACAUUAGCAACGGCAGCACAGGUAGGUUUUACCUGUACAAAUGGAAGUGGCUGCAUGUUUAAGUCACUCUGGGUAGCAGCAGCUGCCUCAGAACUGUUGAAAUGUGCCUGGACUAAUAGACGCACAUGUUAGAAAGGGCCUUUAAAAAGUGCGGCACCUUCAGCUGCUUACAGUAGUCGAGAAAGCAGGUACUUUGCCAUGUAGACAGGGAAAAAAUAUAGUCAUCACCACCAUCAUCAGCUUACUUGUGUUAAAUGAUUACUGACAUGAAACUUUUGUGUCUGUUAUCUUUUUCUUUCCUUGUUUAGGUAGUUGUCAACUCCAUAACUAUAGUAUUAAAGCCUAGGUUUUUUUCAGAGCAUCACAAAUAAUAAAUCACAGCACCUUUUAUACCAUCUACUGAAAGUGUGUCCCACGUGCUGUGUAGCUUAAGCCGUGAGAAAGGAAAGCUGGCAGGCCGCCAAAAGUGGGUGUAGCAGUCACAUCGUAUCACAAACAACUUAAGAGCUGGCCAGUCAGCUCGGUGCUGUGGUUGAAGGCCAUACAAUGAUUAGUCAAAAGUUGCUGAAUUGGCCCUUCCACUUGUUCGCUUCUAUUGGAAACCCGCAGGGAAGUACUCUGUUCUCUUUUCCUGUCGAAUGUUGAAUGGAGUUGGCUUUGGGCUGCAUGGUCUAAAUGUGUUUGCAUGUGCGCGUCAGUGGUAUCUCGUACCACAAGACGCUGCAACAGGUUUCGAUGCUGUGAUUGUUCUCCUGUGUCUUAUAUAAAGCCGUGCUGCAGUUGAGUGCAUUUGAAGUGGUCGCAGUAAAAGGCAACAUAAUUAUUUGUUGUGUUCUCGGGGAACUGAGGCUCCACAGCGCAAUUACUGGGCUGAGGCAUGUCUAAUAAAGCAAUACUGACAAGACAAAUUUUCUGUCAGUACCUAAUUGCAGGAUAAAGUGCUUUCUCGGUGAUCUUCGUUACACUCCGACUCUCCAUUUACACUCAGUCUUCAUUACACUCCGGCUGUGUAUGUCCUAUGCCUGCACACUUUCUAAUCCCACUACUUAAUCCAUCAGGCCCUUUUCUUCCCCUUUGCACUCAUUCUGUCACUCUAACAAACCACCAUGUAAUGUCAGUGUCACUCUAACAUGUCACUCAAACAUGCAUUGCAUGACCUGUCAGUUUCCAUGCCUUAAUCUCAACCAAGAUAUCACCAAAUGUGUUGCACAGAUCAAUGAAUAGGGCCGCAAUAACUUUAAAGGCUAGUUGCAUGCCUCUGUUUCACAAUUUCUUCUUUCUCUCCAAGGUAUCCCGCCCACUGUCCUUCCCGUGCUUCCAGUGGGUCGGAGGUGCUCAUCACUUGUGUCUGCUGCUGGACUGUACAGUGACGGAUGAAACGCAGUGAACAUAUCCCUUGCGGAGCUUACUGAGAGCCAGCAUCACAUUGUGCCUUGUACAGUCAAACCUCAACGAACAUGGAUAUAAAAAAUUAUCAAAUAUAACAAAUUGUUAAUUAUAAUGAAUUAUUUGAUGUAACAAAGCAAAUGAAAAAUUGUCUCACCACUAUUACAGUGUGACAAAUGCAUGUUUAUAGCAAAUAUCAGAAAGAAUUAAGCUAUUUUUGUGCCAAAUGUGGCUUUGUUAUAAAGAUUUGGAACUGUACAGUUUCUGAACUGCGGUGGUCCAUCAGUAUUUUUCUUAUACUUGUAUUUUUAGUUGCUACAAAGGACUCUUUAUGGACUCAUCUAUGACAGAAGCACUGAAGGAAAAUGUGUGUAUGUGUUCUUGUUUUGAUAUUUGCAUCUUGUAAGUAUAAGAUAUAUUACUCAUGGGCAAGGUUGUGUAUCAAAUAAGCAAGUAAGGUGGUAUAUAGUUGGUUACAGGUAUUAUGGAGCAUGAUAUUAUGGUGCAAAUUUAGGCAGGACUGAGAAAAACACACAGGAAAACUGCCAAAAUCAGCUUGUGUCCUUUGUGUCUCACUUUUUUCUGCGUUUCUCACUCUGUCCUGUCUGAAUUUGUGCCUAAAGCCCUGUUCUGUAGUAUUUGCAUCAACUGCUUUUGAGGCAAAAAUAUUUUCCUUUUGUCACUUGCCUUCACAUGUUAGAAUGUGCUGUUUCUAUUGAGAAUGGCCUCAUAGGGGAAGAGAGGAUAUUAAAUGACCAGGAAAGAUACAAAGUAUGGUUCCAGACUUGUUUUCUUUUUACUUUUUGCCUUUGUUUUUGCCUUUUGGGUCAUUAUUUGCUUGCAUGUUCAGGGUUCUUACUCAAUAGGUCGAGCUGCGACUCUGUUUCUUCAUUCUGUAUAUAUCUGGUAGAUCUAUUUUUAGUGCAUACAGCUUGUGAUGGUAAGCUUGAAAUGGAGUCUUUUUAUUUUGUUUGUUUGUUAGUCUUGUGGCAGAUUAUAUUAGCUCAGGUUGGCCAUGAGCUACUAUGGUUCGGUGGCCAAUAGAUUCAGAGGUGUGAUGCCUUUAGUGUAAUAACUGUGCAAUAUCUUGCGACCUAAAAGUAUGGAAUUUGAUGUUACAUCAAAUGACAUUGACGCAUAGCUUUAUCUUUCUUUGGUAUGUGACACACUGCUUCUUGGUUGCAAAUUUGAGCGAAUGACUCUAGCCUUUGUAGGAUUGCCUGUUAUGUAUUAAGCAUAGUAUGGUAAUUUAACAGUGAUGAUAGCCUUUCUUGACGACUGUGUAGGACCCCAGGACAAACAGGUGCCACUAGAAUGCUCAAGAAAUACUGCUGGCAGGGUCAGUCCAGAUGUUCUUCCAAGCAGAGGCCCUGAAGUUCACGCUGAGCAAAUAGUCUUGAUCACUGUGAAGCAAGAGCCUCCGUCAUUUGAAACAAAUGACGAUGACCCUGAUGUCAAAGUAUCACAGCCUGGAUGGCCUAAUGGAAGCCCCCUGGCUUUCACAGACUUUGCAGACAUUCGCGGCUUUAACUGGACUACCGGGUUCUGAGUGAUAUUCCUGAACUUUUGCUUGGAAUCUGUGACCAUGGCAUGUCUUCCACCAAAAUUGAAUGUGCCAAUGUGGUUUCUUGACUCAGCUGUUGAACUUUUCCAGCAACCACCACCCUCAGGUCACCAAACCCAGAACACAUUACGCAAGUGUGGCAAAUGGAAACGAGUGACCAGGGUUAUAUCUACAUGUGCCACCUCUGUCCAGAACGCGUUUGUUCACUGAAAGAGCUGCAGCUUCACUUGCAAAGUCAUUACCUCUACCAGAACGUGGUGCCUGCCGCAGAGAUCUCGGAGGCAUCUCAUGAAGAGUCUCCGCUCGAAACCAGGUUAGGGGUAGUCGAACAAGGUGUGGCCCUCCCCGAGGUGCAGCGUAUAGCAUCUGGAAGUUGCAGUGGAGAGUCCAUCGAGCCUGUUCUUAUGGAACAGCAUGCUGUUGCUGGAACACUAAGCGAUGAGUUCCACGUCGACAGCUCCACCGCCUGGAAUAUUGAGCACAGCUGCCACCAGUGUCAGGCUAAGUUUCCCUCAAAGGAGUCGCUGGAGGCACACCUCUGCGCUGAAGGCCAGUCGUGCCACUUGCCCAAGAGCAAUCUGUGCCCCACUAUGUUUAGCGAGCAAAGCCCCUUGGCAGGCCACAUGAGAAGUCGUUGUGACCGAUCGUCUGACUACAAGUGCCCCGUCUGUCCUGUGGUGUGUUCGUGCGUGGAAGCGCUGACGGUGCACCCCAAGUGUCAUCUCAAGGGUCGCAAGAAAGAAUGGAUGCUCGACGUUCCUAGAUGCCUCUUUCAGUGCCAUCUGUGUCCCAAGACGUUUGACACUAUGAAGGAACUGUGCGAGCACAAGUCAGAUCAUGCCCGAGUGUAGUGAAUGUGCUGCUUGGGUGUGACUGUGAUCUGUUGUCGUGCCUUCGAAGGGCCCCUCUGGCACCUCUUCCUCAAAAUUGAGGAUGCAUUCGAGUGACUACAAUACCUUUCAAUGAAUCUAUUCCUGCAGAUGUCCUGCAAGAUGUCAUAAUAAUGAUGUAACACAUAGCUUGUUAUGUGUUCGGUGCGCGAGGUAAAGCAUUUGUCCAAAUUUGGGUAACAAUCUUCUAUGCCAUAGUCUCUCAUAGCUCGUGGAGCUUGACAUGCUGGAUUGCCUACAGAGUUGGGACUGAUUACUAGUGCACAAGGAAGUUCUGUGUUAUUGACAAGCAGCUAGCAUAAGCAGAAUCUAAAAGAAUAGCAAUUUUGUUAUUUUUUAACCAGUAAGUGGUUUAUUAUCGUUUCAGUUCUAGAGUUAACAUUGAUGCAUGCUUGAGCAUUUUGCCGAGUUGUACAUCACUCAGUUUCUCUUAUUUGAUGGCUUCACUGCAAGUGUGAUUUUCUUGAUGCACUCCUGCAUUAUUGGUGAACAGUACCUUUAAUCACAUAAACUGCAAAAAUGUUU